UUUGAUCCACACAAUUAAUAACAGAAGAUAUAGUAAAAAAAAUGUUUUUGUAAUUUCAUAUGUUACUAUUACAUUCUCACAUGUUUUAGGACCAAAAAACUACUGUAACUGUAAUAAGACAAACUAAACUUUUCAGAGGUUUUGGAUUAUCUAGUACUAUUUGUGUUUUUAUUUGAAGUUUGAAAAAAUUGUUUCCUUGAGAACAAAAGUGAUGAUGGGAAAUGAGAUUAUCUUCUUUUUUGGCUAAGAUUUUGAGCCAACCACUGAACAAGUUCAAAACAAGUUAUUUCAUUGGUAAUUAAUUAUACUUUCUUCUCA
rnacentral:lncRNA from 1 species